rnacentral:rRNA from 1 species
UCCUACGGGGCGCAGCAGUGAGGAAUAUUGGUCAAUGGUCGGGAGACUGAACCAGCCAAGCCGCGUGAGGGAUGAAGGUACAGAGUAUCGUAAACCUCUUUUGUCAGGGAACAAAGGCGGGGACGCGUCCCCGGAUGAGUGUACCUGAAGAAAAAGCAUCGGCUAACUCCGUGCCAGCAGCCGCGGUAAUACGGAGGAUGCGAGCGUUAUCCGGAUUUAUUGGGUUUAAAGGGUGCGCAGGCGGUCUGUUAAGUCAGCGGUCAAAGCCCGGGGCUCAGCCCCGGCCCGCCGUUGAAACUGGCAGU